ensembl:lncRNA
UAAAAAAAAAAAGAGAGAGGAAAAAAACAGCUUGAUCUGACUGAAACCUCAUAGAACUGUAAAUAUAUAUGAGCAUCCAGGAGCGAUCAGCAAUGGGAUAGGGAGGCAUUUUUCCUCUGGAAGGCAGUGCCAUUUUUGUGCAAGGAGAUUUGGACAGCCCAUAAAAUCGCACGUUCAUAACUCCAGAAGAGGGAAUGUUUCCCAGCUCAUGGAGGACUGGAUGUCAGCAUCUACGCAGCAAAAUAAAGGCUUGGUUCUGGCAAGUGCACCAGGAGCAACGGGAGCGAACUACUUCUUGUUACCAGCAACGGUGCUGCAGCCUGGGAGAUGACUGCCAGACAUUUUCCUGCCCUUGGCUGCUUGCUACUGACUCUGUGCCCCAAGGAAUGGGCUGUUUUGUCAGAGUGGAGAGGGAAAGCUGAAGACCAGGCUGCUGGCUUCAUCCAGAGCAGGUCGAUUCUAGAGCUGUUCCCUUGAAAACUGUGGGGUCUUGCUAAAAUACAAGGAACAGCAGGAAUCGUAUCUGGGUGGUUUCCUGGAGAGGUCCUUACAGGGUCUGGGGUUUGCUCCUGAAAGAGAAACCUCUAACGACAGCCAAUGUGGGACCUAUACCAGGUCUACGGUGUCUGUGCUGCAAUCUUCGUGCUUUCCUGCCUGGUCUGCUCUCCCCUCUGCCACUCCCAAACAGCUGCCACCAGACCUACUCGACAUGGGCUCUCCAACCUCCAUGACGUUUUCAACAUCUGAUGGUGACAGGAAGGGGAAAGUGCAAACUCCCAGCAUACCAUCUUACAGCACACACGUGGAAAAAUCUCAUGGAAAGGAGUUCCCAUGGGAACAAAAAAGCAUCUUGUCUUGGAAGCGUCCCUUCUCCUCCUAAACCCUGUUAAUGGUAGCUCAUCAGCCAUUUGCUACGCUUCUUGGUACUGUAAAAACUGUAGGCUGUGAGCAGGAAAUACUGUGGUCACGGGCAAAGGAGCCUGAGGGGUGAAACCAAUGGUGAUGCCACUGUCUUCGGAGAAGCUGUGCAAGAACGAGCUGGGACCAUUCAGUUGCUUGUGAUUAGAUUAACAGACCUGCUCUUCUUAAAAGCAAAGGCUCAGGUCUGGCACACCUGCACGGGAUCAAAAGCAGGAAGGUCAGUUCUGCUUUUUAUGAGCUUCUGCAAGGAGGCUCUGCAAGACUCAGCCUCUCAGCAUCUGAAAGCCACGUUCAGUUGACAACCCCACUUUGUCCUAUUUCUGGAAACCACAGGAAAAGGCAAAUACCUCCACUCAAUAUGAAUACAAAUCAGAGACUGAGUUUGAGUGUCCCAAAACAGCCUUUUUAUAGACUUGACCUCAAGCUUGAAUAGGACAUGAAAUGAGAUGAAUUUCACAGGCUUUUCUGUUUAGCUGUGAACAUGUUGCGUGCUAUUAAAAAUGAGUUCAGCACAGGUUACAUUGUGUGGAAGGGGAAGACAGGCUAUUGAGAGAGAUGCAAAGAAAACCUGUGUCUAGAGUUCAGCUCCUAACUGGUCAGGAUUAGGUUAUUUCUUUGUAAGGCAUUUUCAGUUCCUGUGGAAUGAAAGACAAAAUAUGAAAGCAUAGAGCCUGGACAGUCAGAUGGCAUGCCAGAAAUAAAUCAGAAGAAGAUCUAAUGGCUCA